rnacentral:lncRNA from 7 species
UGUGAUUUCCGGUUAAAUGGGGAUUUUCCUAGAGAAGAUGUGUGAUUUGGGGAUAAUGGGUAUUUUUGAAGAGAUAAAGCAUGAUUUUGGGGUAAAUGGGGGAUUUUCCAAGAGAAAAUGUGUGAUUUGGGGGUUAAAAGGCGGGAUUUCUGAGGAGAAAAUGUGUGCUUUUGGGGUUAAUGGGUAUUUUGGGAGAAAAUGCAUGAUUUUGGGGUAAAUGCGUAUUUUCCAAGAGAAAAGGUGAGGUUUUGAGUUAAAUGGGGGGUUUCCAAGAGAAAAUGCGGUGAUUUUGGGGUUAAACGGGGAUUGUUGAAGAGAAAACGCGCAAUUUUUGGUUUUAAACAGCAAGUUUUGUAAGAGAAUAUGCGUGAUUUUCAGUUUAAAUCAGGGAUUCUGAAAGAGAAAUGUGUGAUUUUUUUUAAAUGGGGUAUUUUUGGAAGGGAAAAUGCAUGAUUUUCGGGUAAAAUGGGGGGUUUUCGAAGAGGAAAUGCUUCGUUUCAGGUUAAAUUGGGGGUUUCGAAGCCAAAAUGUGCGA